rnacentral:rRNA from 1 species
GUAACAUAAAUACAUGGAAGUUUGAGGCAAUAACAGGUCAGUGAUGCCCUUAUAUGUCCUGGGCUGCACGCGUGCUACACUGAUGUAUACAACAAGUGCCUAGUCAGACAUGGCAUGGCAAUCUCGAAUAUGCAUCGUGAUGGGGAUAGAUCUUUGCAAUUAUAGAUCUUGAACGAGGAAUUCCUAGUAAGUGCAAGUCAUCAUCUUGCAUUGAUUAUGUCCAUGCCCUUUGUACACACCGCCCGUCGCUCCUACCGAUACCGGGUGAUCCGGUGAACCUUUUGGACCUGCAAGGGGAAGAUAAGUAAACCAUAUCACCUAGAGGAAGGA